rnacentral:tRNA from 1 species
GCGGACGUAGCUCAACUGGAAGAGCACGGGACUGUGGCUCCCGGGGUUGCGGGUUCGAGCCCCGUCGUCCGCCCCU